rnacentral:rRNA from 1 species
UACAGAGGUCUCAACCGUUGUUCGGAUUCAUUGGGCGUAAAGGGUGCGUAGGCGGUCGCGCAAGUCGGAUGUGAAAUCUCAGGGCUCAACCCUGAAACUGCAUUCGAUACUGCGUGGCUAGAGUGCUGGAGAGGAGACUGGAAUUUACGGUGUAGCAGUGAAAUGCGUAGAUAUCGUAAGGAAGACCAGUGGCGAAGGCGGGUCUCUGGACAGUUCCUGACGCUGAGGCACGAAGGCCAGGGGGGCAAACAGG